UACGGAGGGUGCGAGCGUUAUCCGGAAUUACUGGGGUUAAAGGGUGCGUAGGCGGCCAUGUAAGUCAGGAGUGAAAGUUUGCGGCUCAACCGUAAAAUUGCUUUUGAUACUGCAUGGCUGGAAUCAGGAUGAGGUCAGCGGAAUGUGGCAUGUAGCGGUGAAAUGCAUAGAUAUGCCAUAGAACACCAAUUGCGAAGGCAGCUGGCUAGACCUGUAUUGACGCUGAGGCACGAAAGCGUGGGGAGCGAACAGG
rnacentral:rRNA from 1 species